rnacentral:rRNA from 1 species
UGGGGAAUAUUGGACAAUGGGCGCAAGCCUGAUCCAGCAAUGCCGCGUGUGUGAAGAAGGCCUUCGGGUUGUAAAGCACUUUUAUCAGGAGCGAAACGCUGUCGGCUAAUACCCGGCGGAACUGACGGUACCUGAGGAAUAAGCACCGGCUAACUUCGUGCCAGCAGCCGCGGUAAUACGAAGGGUGCAAGCGUUAAUCGGAAUUACUGGGCGUAAAGCGUGCGUAGGCGGUUUCUUAAGUCUGCUGUGAAAUCCCCGGGCUCAACCUGGGAAUGGCAGUGGAUACUGGGAGGCUAGAGUGUGUCAGAGGGUGGUGGAAUUCCCGGUGUAGCGGUGAAGUGCGCAGAGUCGGGAGGAACAUCAGUGGCGAAGGCGGCCACCUGGGACAACACUGACGCUGAGGCACGAAAGCGUGGGGAGCAAACAGGAUUAAAUACCCUGGUAGUCCACGCCCUAAAGCGAUGCGAACUGGAUGUUGGUCUCAACUCGGAGAUCAGUGUCGAAGCUAACGCGUUAAGUUCGCCGCC